AACGCACAUUGCGCCCUUUGGUAUUCCGAAGGGCAUGCCUGUUCGAGCGUCAUUAUCACCCCUCAAGCCCCCGGGCUUGGUGUUGGACGUCCGGUGGAGGGCCCGUCCCCCCACCCGUCCCAAAGACAAUGACGGCGGCCUCGUCGCGCCCCCGGUACACUGAGUUCUUCACGGGACACGUACCGGAUCUCGGGUGCUCGAGUCACGGUCUCCAUCUCCCCUUCGCGGGGGGGAUACCCCCAUUUUCUAUGGUUGACCUCGGAUCAGGUAGGGAUACCCGCUGAACUUAA
rnacentral:misc_RNA from 1 species